GAGAGAGAGAUCACAAGUAGGCAGAGAGGCAGGCAGAAGGAGAGGGGGAAGCAGGCUCCCUGCUGGGGUCUGGCAGGCCCAAUCUGCAGGCACUGAGGUGAGGAAUCACAAAAUCCUACCCCUGAAGCAAAGGAAUUAACACUACAUGGAAGCAAAUUGGAAUUGAAGUCAAGGAAGGAAAGAAGACCAUGUUCUACGUCAUGAAGGGUGAGCAAUUGGAGCAGGUGUGCAGGCUUUAGGUGGGAGACACCUACUUAUCCGCACCUGACAACCCUUCUUCACUCUGGCUCCACGAGACCUGAAGUUUGGAAAUCAGCGUCCGAGCCAGUCAUCCAGCUUGUCUCAGGAUGUCAGCGUUCAGAGAAAACAGCAGGCCCAUGGGGCACAAUGUCACAUCCAUGUCAGGAUGAGAGUUUCAUGGGUGAUGAAGUCAGAAGGAGAGUCUUUGGGAAUUUCCCUGGAUAAAAGCAAUCUGGUGGUUUCAAGGGACUUGGCAUAAGGAACCCUGGGGUGAAUUUCUGUGGCUGCUUGCCUGACGCUUGGUGAGGAUAUCACAAAAUCCACGCAAUUAACACUGAAGCAAAGGAAUGAACACUGCAUGGAAACAAAUUGGAAUUGAAGUCAAGGAGGAAAGAAGAAGACCAUGUUCUACUUCAUGAGACUGAGGCUUCUGUCCCCUGGGGCCUGUACCCCAAGCCCUCCUGAUUGAGGAUGUUGGAGCCACACUCAAGGAGUCUGCCUGCCUCCCAGAUGAAAACUGCAGAGAUGCACAGACCCCUCAGACCAGGAGAAACCUGCAUAUUUCCCUGAGGCCAACCCCAAAUUCAGUAACCCCCACCAUAGCCUGACAAGCUGCAUGACCCCUGUUCUCAACUCAGACCCAUGGAGAUCCUGCCUCAAUGCCCACAGAUCAGACCUGCCAUGCCCCUAGGCCUUAACCCUAAACCUAGGUUGUGUUUUCAGGCUUCUGUCCCUAGAGGCCUGGCCCCCAAGCCUUCCAGAUUGGGGACUCCUGAGCCACACCCCAGGACUCCGCCUGCCACCUAGGAGGAAUCCAUGUCAUUUGGAGAUGCACAAAACCCUCAGAGCAGGAGAACCCUGCAUGCUCCUGUGAGUCCACUCCCAUCUUCAGUACCCCACUGGGCCACCAACACAGCCUGAUCUCAGCUGGACCCCCUCCCUCAACACUGCCCCCAGACAGCUCCUAUUAGCUGGGGCCUUCAAGGGAGCCUUGUGGUCCUGGCCUGAGUUCCCGCAUUGUUGCAACACACUCCUAGUGAGAAAAUGCUCUAAACAAUGGAUGCAACUCUUGGUUCUUCUGUGGACCUAGGUUAGGGGCUAGGUUCCACAGUGGCUACAACAGCCUGCAUACCUACCAACAGUGCAGGAGGGUUCUGCUCUAAGCAGAGCUUUACCUACCAGCAAUUUCCUAAGGAGGAAAUGGAAAGCUGAUUCACCCAGAUUUAGGCAAGCAGCUACAGAAAUUCACCCUAGAGUUCCUAAAGCCAAACUCCUUAAAGCCACCAGCAUGCCUCUAACCUGGAGUAUUCCCAAAGACUCUCCUUGUGACUUCAUCACAAAUGAUACUGCAGAGAAAAUAUGGCAUGUCCAACUAUCUAGAUGAUCCAUUAAGUGAAACUAGAAAGUCAUGCUUCACUUGUAAAUCCUCAAAGCCUCCUUAGGAUCAUUUUGAAUUUUCCCUCUACCCUCACUGUAACUCUUUGGCUGAAAUGAUGAAUCAGUUAGGAUACAUCACCUUUGACAAAGGACAAGACAUUAUCCAAGUCUCUAUCUGACCACAAACAGCCACCUAACUCUAGAUGCUGGCCACUCCACCACAGCCUAGGCCCAAUGAAAUAAACACUGUUAGAUGAAGGAAUGCAUUUUAUUUUAAGAGUACACACUGAGUCUAUCUCAUCUUCCCUUUUGAAUCAAAGUGAUUGCCUGGGAAAAAGAUGUUCCAGAUACCUUCGUAAGCCAGAAAUGAACAGAGAAAAUGGGAUCCCCUGCCAAAUUCUACCUGCAGGGGAACUCAGGAACUCUGGCAUCCACUCUUGAUUUUUGAUAGCUGUUUCAGUUUGACUUUGUGCCCCCCCUAGAGACAAGAGAAAAGCCCAGGAAGAGAAGUUUUACCUCCCAUCCUGACGUGGAUGUGACAUUGCACCCAACACACCUGCUGCUUUCUAUGAAUGCUGACAUCCCAUGACAAACUGCAUGAUUUACUCUGACGCUGAUUUCAAAACUUCAGGACUCAUGGAACCAGAGUGAAGAGAGUUGUCAUUUGGGGAUAAGCAGGCAUCUCCAACCUAAGGCCUGCACAUCUGCUCCAAUUCCUUGGAGUAGGGGAGACACAUGCUUGUCUCUAAGUGGUAAUUAACUUCCUUGUACAGUCGACCAAUGCCAUUGUCCUUUUUGGAGAA